AAGGAAACCCUAAAACAUAUUGCCCUCUUCUUACCAUUUCCAUCAUAAAAAUCACCAUGGUCACGGUACAAAGCUCAUUUUCAUUCCUUGGUCUAAGAUGGGUGGUGAUUUAUCUAAUCGUUCUUCACUUUAAUUCGAAUAACUCGAGAAAAAGUUUAAAGAAAACGGACAUAGUUUGGCGGAAUUUGAUUAUAUGCGAGAGUGGUUACAACAUGUGGCAAAAAAGAUAUUGAAAUAGGGUUGUCUUCUUAUGGUUCAUCAAUCUCGUCAUGGUGUUAUCUGCACGCCAAGCUUCCAGAGAAAAUAAUGUUAUUUCUGGAAUUUUUUGUAGAUUACUUGCAAACUCAUUGCAAGGGAAGCACAAUGCAUGGAUUUAGGGGUGGACAAGCUGGGGUCAUGAAGGGGAAGUAUAUGGUGUUGACCUCGGAGUUCAUUUACCCAUACAAAAAUCAGGGUGGAUUUGAUAUGAUUUGCAGCGGUAGGGAUAAGAUUAAGACUCCAGAGCAGUUUAAAGCAAGCUGAAAGAACAACUAAGAAGCUCAUUUAGAUGGUCUUGUCGUAAUUGUUGGAGACGACUCCAAUACAAAUGCUUGUCUUCUUGCUGAGAACUUAAGGAAUAUCAAAGUGCAGAAGUUUCAGAGGAAGAAAAUCUCUUUAAGAAGACAUGGAUGUGUUCGUUAACUUCAUCAGGGUUUGAAAAAAUUGUGCUACCCCUUUCAAGAUAACCACAUUUUCUAGCAAAGGUACAUUUUUCUUUAACCCACCCUUGUUGAUAUAAUCCUUAACUCCUGCUGAUUACAAGUUAGGUCCGAAUCUCCCACUAUGAACUUAACUGGUACUUGUAUUUUUGCCCCUGUCCUUGGUGCUGUCAGUUCCCAAUUUUUGCAUUUCAAGAAUAUGGCUAAUCAAUUAUGAGGUGAGUAGCUAGUUGUAAGUUUAUCAUAGAUACUAAAUGUAGGAACUUACAGAUCAUGUGCUCUGUAUUAAUAAUUCAAUCCACCAGUGAAACCAGUGUGCUCAUAUAUAUCCAUAUGCAGGCCAUCAAUGAUGUUGCUCUAUGCUUUGUAAAUAUUUAUAUUCCUUUAUACUUAAUUUGUUUUAAGUUGUAUGACAUUGUUUUAAUUUCAGUGGUUUAAUGAGAAAGAUUUUUUAACCUCGAAAGCUAAACUGUAAAGAUUGUAUGUUUAAACUUAUAGACUAAUUUUUAGUUUGACUCUCGAAAUCUAAACUAUGCUAUGGAAAUUGGGACGAGUAGACGGUGUAAUGCAUUUAAACAUUAACUAUUUUAGAUUUCUGUGUUUCCAUGGAGUGAAAUGUUUGAUACUUAGUUUUGUUAAGAUGAAAGAUAUGCAUCAGUAGUUGCUAUAGAGAGCACAUCUAAGUUCGAUAAUGAGCAAUGACUUCCUUAAUUGAUUCUCUAUUGUUUUCUUACUCUUAUGGAGAUGCUCCUUCAACACUCGCUUCAAUGGUAACAUCCCUUGCUUAAUUCCCCUGGCUUUUUUCCUUAAGAUAGCUAAGAAAAGGAAAUAGUAUUCCUGGUACUCUAUAAAAACUAGUUGACGGCUCCUUUUAAUUGGAUUUGAGUUAGUUACAUAGUUGAAAACAAAUAAGUGUGUUUGUACCCAUUUGCCGAAGAAGUAGUUGAUCAGCAUGAACUAAAGUAUAAUUGAUACCACUUGUUACUUGUUGUAGUCACUUUGUUCAUGAUAUCCUCUUAAGUAGUUGAUGGCAUUCGAUGCUCUCCAGUUCUUGCGGGUUGACAACUCUUUCCCCUUUUUAACAUAAUGUAAAUAAGUCGGUGUUGGUAUCUCUAUUAGAGGAAGAUGCGGGAUUCUAGCUUACAAUUUUACUGUUCCCGUGAAAUCCUUAGAUUAUUUGGGUUAUAGCAUAUAGUCGUGCUUAAGUUGUUAAGUUGUAAGCCAGAUCUAUUGGGAAAAGAUUUUUGAAAAGAUUUUGAGUUGUUUCAUUUCAUACUUAUUUUGAUUAUUGUGUUCCUUCAAAAGAUUCAGUCAGGCUGUCAUACACUUUGUGAGAGUAUCAAGGAAAUUGUUAACGAAGAAUUUGGUGAUGACAUGUAACUCACUCCACAUAGCAUACAUAUUAAGUACUUUUCCUUAUUUUAUUGAUUCAAAAUAUAUUGUGGUGAUAGAUUUAAUCUUUUCUUGUAUUUUUGUAUCUCCAUGUGUUUAAAACUUAAGAUUCAUAAUCUGGAAAUGCUCUCUUCCUUUAAACUUCGGGAAUUUUGGAUCUUGUGAACCUUAUUGAAUCACAUUUCGUGGUUUACUACUUUUACUUGCAUAAGUUUAUCUCUGGUUUGCUGCAUGCAUGAUUCGUAAGAAGUCUGUUGAAGAUGAACUAGAGCAUGCACAGUGUGUAUAAAGUCAACAAGCCACUAUGGUAUAGUGUUGUUUGAUCACUAUAUAAAUGAUCUAUAGACAACAGGGGAAUUAAACCCCUUCUUCAUUAUAUGUUGUUUGUUUAGUGCUUUUUUCUAAGGGAAUUAGGAAUGAUAUUGGUAUUCCUUAGGAUUAAGCCAUAUUACCUGACUUCAGAACUCACUCGUUUGUCUAUGCUUUCUCGUUCGCAAACCCAAGCUCUCUAAUCCCACCUCUUCCCAAUUACCCUCUUCCUGAUUAUUUUAAUGGACAAAUAGUGGGAAAGGAAAAUUCUAACUACAAUUUCAUAGGUAAGUGAUAGUCAAGUGUACUGUUUUUGUUUGACUCAUCCACUAUGCCUUUGUUAAUCAUCAUCCUGAUGCACAUUGUGACUUAGAGUCUCAUUCAUUAUCCUAUUAUGAUCCUGUGAUUCUAUCUUCUCUUUUCUGGUGAAUCACACAACCUUUCUGCAUAUUAGAUUAUUUAUACUACUAGUGUAAACUAUUUUGUCGCGGCUGUACACAUGUUGUGUAUACUAUACAUAUUACAAUUUGUUGGCACCACCACCUUCGGAUCUUUAAAAACCAGAAAAAAAGACAAAGGAGUUUUCACACAUUUAUUUUAUAAAAAAGAGAAUAGUAUAUUAUGAGCCAUCCAAGUUUAUAUCUGAGUGUUUGAUGCAAGUUUAUGUUUCUGUUAGUUGUUUUUCACUUGGCUUCCUGUCCAUGUACUUGUACUAAGAUGAUAUGUCAUAUUUUAACUUUUGACUCAAUGUUUAGCAUGUCAGCUAUAGACAUUUUCUACUCAGUUGUUAAAAUGAAAGGCGUGGAUGGAAAGGGUCGUGUUGUCUUGACUUUUGAUGGAAUGUAUCUGCCACACAAUGAGCAGUCGUUGGUAGGUGAGGAGCAUUUGAGAAGCAAGACUUGGAUCAUAGCAU